AUGGCUGCGGCGCGGCACGGGGGCUACAGGAGCCACGACGUGUCCAGGAGGCGGGAGCACGACCUAGAGCGUUCCAGGAGGAGCAAGGAGUACCGCCGCCCGAGCCGCGACCGCGACUCGGAACGGCGCCGUGAUGGCAGCAGGGGCCGUGAGGUGGACAACGGGUACAGCCGCCCCCGCUCGCCGUAUCCGCCACCGAGGAGCCGACCUUCGAGGAGGAAGGACGAUAAGGAGCCUGGUGAGGUCUCCAGCGAUAGCGGCUCGGAGUCUGCUGGGCGCCCACCGGUGCCGAGGCAGGAUGGGGUUCUAGGGGUCCGCAGGGAUGGAGAUGGAGGUUCGUUGCCACCGAGCAAGAAGAGGAAGCACUCACCUGGAUUCCACGAUACGAAUGUUUCAAAGCUGAAGGCAAGAGACGAGGAGUGGAGCAGGAGAGGACCUGAUGCCUUAGCUGCAGAGCUCCCUCUUCAUUCGCCGCCUCCUUUGUCAGACACGACCCCUGAGGCUGUGAAUUUGGAAGUUUUGGUGGUUCCAAAUGAUGCUGAAAGGAGGGAUGGGAUUACAGAGGAGGAAGAGGAUUGUGCAACGAGAAACAUUUUUACUUCCAGAUGGGCGGAUGCUGACGAAGAGGAGGAAGAGGUGAUUGUGCCCAAGAAGAAGAAGAAGAGUGUGUCACCUGCUCAUUUGCCUGAAGAAAAAUCCACAAAGAAAGUCAUGAGCCCAGAACUGGGAGCAGUGAUGGACAGUAAAACAUCAAGAAGAACUUCCUCAAGUUCAUCCAACUCGAUGGGUAGUGAAAACUGUAAUAUUGAGGUAGACGAGGGUAACUGCAUGGAUGUUGAAAAAGAGGAUGAUAUUGAUUCUUCUGCUGGUUGUUCGCCGGGUACUCGUUCCAGGAGUGAUGUGCAUAGGUCUGGAACACCUGAAGCUGUACGACCACCACGUAGGUGCUUUAACAUGCUUCAGGGCUGUAGGAGUAUUGAUGAGUUUGAGAGGAUCAACACAAUCAAUGAGGGUACAUAUGGAGUUGUAUUUAGGGUGAGGGACAAGAAAACUGGUGAGAUAGUUGCAUUGAAGAAGGUCAAGGUGGAUAAGGAAAAGGGUCGGGAAGGUUUUCCAUUGACUUCUCUUAGGGAAAUCAAUAUCCUUCUAUCAUUUGACCACCCUUCAAUUGUGGAUGUUAAGGAAGUAGUUGUUGGUGGUCAUGACGAUGAUACUUUUAUGGUGAUGGAGUACAUGGAGCAUGAUCUUAAGGGUGUCAUGGAGGCGAUGAAGCAACCAUAUACCCAAAGUGAGGUCAAAUGUUUGAUGCUUCAGCUGCUAGAGGGCGUGAAGUAUCUUCAUGACAAUUGGGUACUUCACAGGGAUCUCAAGACAUCAAAUCUCCUCUUGAAUAACCGUGGUGAGUUGAAAAUAUGUGAUUUUGGACUCUCUCGUCAAUAUGGCAGCCUGCUAAAGCCUUACACCCAACCAGUUGUGACUUUGUGGUACAGGGCUCCGGAGCUACUAUUAGGGGCAAAGGAGUAUUCUACUGCUAUCGAUAUGUGGUCAUUAGGUUGCAUAAUGGCAGAACUCUUGUCAAAGGAGCCACUCUUCACUGGGAAGUCUGAGAUAGAUCAACUUGAUAAGAUAUUUAGGAUACUUGGCACACCCAAUGAGGAGCGAUGGCAUGGUUUUUCCAAAUUGCCCGGCGCCAAAGGCAACUUUGUAAAGCGACCGUACAAUAGAUUAAGGGACAAAUUUCCAGCUGUAUCCUUCACGGGAGGCUUGACCUUGUCAGAGGCUGGGUUUGACCUGCUAAAUAGGUUGCUGACGUAUGACCCUGAGAAGCGCAUAUCUGCUGAUGAUGCCUUGGACCAUGAUUGGUUCCGUGAAGUUCCUCUGCCCAAGACGAAGGAAUUCAUGCCAACGUUUCCUGCUCUGAAUGAACAGGACAGGAGGGUCAAGAAAUACAUGAAGAGUCCUGACCCCCUGGUGGAGCAACAGAUGAAAGAACAAGGGAGCAUAGGAGAUCGUGGCCUUUUUGGCUGAUCUGAAACCAGACCAGCCUUACUGCAAAUGACAGUUUUUGAGUGAGUAAACAUGUUCCAAGGUGAGGUGUACAACUGGACAGAGAAGUAUCCCGUCUACUUGGUGUGCGGUGACAGCUUAUUGUGUUCUAUAACAGGCAAGGAAUCAAAGUGGAACAGAAAUGUACUUUAAGUCCCAUGCAGCUAGUGUUCCAAUGGCGGGGUUAGCUCUCUACCAGAACUAUAAUACUCUAACCUACCAUCAUUAUAAGGUGCAGAUCUAAUGCACUUUCAGUUCAUCUAAAAGGUCUGGCCUUGCGUACACCAAGUUUCACCUCUGACAUGUGUAAAGUAUUAUAAAUUGUCGACUUGUAAUCAGUAAUCAAAUAGAUAUUAGUGACAUUUCAUUUUCUCUUUUCAACUAGUGCAUUUUCUUGUGAUCUUUUCAUUUUCUUUGCAAGAGUUGAAUGAAGUGAAGCGACCGGUGCCUUUUUCUUUUCGCAAGGAAAUCAAUUUUCCCCUCUUAAUGGGAAUUGUAAGGUAAAAUGCCGAGGAGCCUGUUCCCUCUGCUGAUGUGUUAUCAUGUAAAAAUGUGUUGAAUCUAUAUCUUUAGUAAUUUCUUAUUUAAAUUUGCUAAAGGAUCUGGUUUGUACUGAACAGAGUUAGAUCUAUCAUGACACCCUCUGCUGCUUCCUCUAGUUAGCUUGGUGUACCAUGUCUUAUAGACAUAGCCUGCUCAUUUUCAACAGUGCAAGUGUUCACCUGGCAGGCAAAUUUUCUGGUUCGACAUAUGUUAACGAUGUAGAAACAUUUCUACAAUCUAGGAAUCAAAUCAGUCUCAGGUGUGAAGCAUUUUUAGUUUCUUAUUAGGUGAGACUAGGUUCUUAACAUUGUUGCUUGGUCUACUAAUCCUUGCACCUGUGUUGAUAUAUUCAUAUCGGUGAGCUUAUUUAUUGUAAAUUGUCAUUGCUUCAGCAGUCAUUUCUUGUGAGAAACUACUGAAUUGUCACUAGUGUUCUUGCCAGGAUUUGUUAGGCUAGAUACCUUUCUUUAGGAAUAGUAUAUAUGCUCUGUUAGAUCUGGUCCUGAUGAUUUCUGUUACCAAUUAGACUUCAAUUGAUGGCUAAAUCUUGAAGGACUUCUUGGAAAGUUUACGUAACUUACUUCAAACAUUAUGUUACACGUCUGCAGCUUAAAGCUGUGGCUGUAUCAAGAGAGGAAGGAUUCGUGGAUGCCAGAUUAUAUACCUUACUGACUUUUUUUGUGGUCGGGCCUCUCAAAGGUCUCAUCUGUAAUUGUGAAUCCAAGUGGUCAGUUUACUAUCUUAUCUUCUAUGUACAGUCAGGGGUUUAUAUGCAAUGAUUUGUUCUUACUCCACCUGUUCUUCACUUGACAGAGUUUAGCUCAGCUCUUUUGACUACUAUGGUAACCUCUGCCCUCUUCGUCUUCCCACUCCACUUAUGUUUCAUCAGCUCAUCAUCAUUAUUUAUCAUUCCUGUGAUUUGUUGCACCAUCAUUAUCAAUUUGUUUCUUUAUUUGCAUGGACAUGAACUGUUCCCACCAUACUUGGCACCUGUUCAGGCUUAGAGUCAGGAUUCUAUGCUUAUUAUUGCUUGAAUAGUUAUAUGAAGGUAGGUAAAACGAUAAAGUUAAGAAUAUGCUAAAUUACUCCUUGUGCUUUGGUUAGAUGAUAUUACCGGACAUAUUUGUUGAGGUGUAAGGCAGUUCUGGGUUUACCUGUUCAUUCUCCAAACAGUUGAUCAAUCAUGGCUUUCAACUUCUUCCAAGGGUGAACUAAACAAGGCCAUGGCAGGGCACCUAUGGAGACAAAGUCAACACAUUGACGGACUUAAAUACCGAGGGGGGGAUGCAGAUGAUAGUUUAUGUUGAUCAGUGAAUAACUAAUUUGAUUUAUACCAAUGUAGUAGAAAAGGCGCAAUUCUAGUUUUCUCCUUAGGGCCUAUUUAGUUCCCACCUUGAAAAGUUUUUUGGGGGUACUGGUAACUAUAGCAAUUAGUGUCUAAUCAUGGACUAAUUAGACUCAAAAGAUUCAUCUAAUAAAAUACAUGGGAACUGUGCAAUUAGUUAUUUUUCUAUCUAUAUUUAAUGUUUUAUACAUGUGUUCAAACAUUAGAUGGGAUAGGGUAAAAAGUUUUUGGGUGAGAACUGAGCAAGGCCUGGUUUAAUAUACAUUAUUAUUGCAUUUUUUUUUUCUGAAUCGAGGGAGUAUAAUCUCUUACAUUUGAUAGUUUGAAAAGAUUCUUUCUCAUCUUCUUUACAUCCGGCUGUUAGAUGCCAUUCCCAUAAUAUGAUGGCAUAUAAUCAGGUGUCAUUCAACAUAGCUGUCAUGUAUCCUAAAUCGAUGUAUUCUCAAGUCUCUGUGUGACUUCGGCCUCAUUAACUCUGAUUUAACCCUUUUUAUGUGCAAACGCAUGUUUGAAAGGAUGAUUGAUGGAGACUCCUGAAGAUACAACCUUCUACCAGCCAGGCGUAUGUAGACCUCUAUUUCUUGCAGGAGAUCAUUACCUUGAGUAUUUCAUGCAGGAGAUUAUUAGCAUCUUGAGUUUUGUAAAAAAAAACACGGAACACGGAAAUAUAUUAGAUAAUCUGGUUGAACUUUGUUCUUUUCUUUUGUUAGUUAAACGCUAUAUUUAGAUGAGCACAACAGCUGCACCGGCAAAGCUAUAGGAACCACAGUAGACCGAAAGAAACCUGUAUUUGACGAACUUGGACACGGAAUCGAAACUUAUACUUUGGCUGGCUGCGCUACGAUC